rnacentral:rRNA from 1 species
AGUGAACGCUGGCGGUAGGCCUAACACAUGCAAGUCGAGCGGCAGCACAGUAAGAGCUUGCUCUUACGGGUGGCGAGUGGCGGACGGGUGAGGAAUACAUCGGAAUCUACUUUUUCGUGGGGGAUAACGUAGGGAAACUUACGCUAAUACCGCAUACGACCUACGGGUGAAAGCAGGGGAUCUUCGGACCUUGCGCGAUUGAAUGAGCCGAUGUCGGAUUAGCUAGUUGGCGGGGUAAAGGCCCACCAAGGCGACGAUCCGUAGCUGGUCUGAGAGGAUGAUCAGCCACACUGGAACUGAGACACGGUCCAGACUCCUACGGGAGGCAGCAGUGGGGAAUAUUGGACAAUGGGCGCAAGCCUGAUCCAGCCAUACCGCGUGGGUGAAGAAGGCCUUCGGGUUGUAAAGCCCUUUUGUUGGGAAAGAAAAGCAGCAGGUUAAUACCCCGCUGUUCUGACGGUACCCAAAGAAUAAGCACCGGCUAACUUCGCG